AGGGAGACCUAAUUCAGGUAGGAGACGAAAAAAAAGUAGUCGCUACCAAGAAUCAAUCCCAAAAGGUCGGAGCGAGGCGAAAUUGGCUUUCAAACUAGGUUCUGGGUUCAAACAAGACCUGAAUCAGGAACAAGGGCUAUUAGCUCAGGUGGUUAGAGCGCACCCCUGAUAAGGGUGAGGUCCCUGGUUCGAGUCCAGGAUGGCCCACCUGCACAGGUGGCAAAAACAAAGAAGCGAGGAAUCAGCACCUUAUCUUACUUAUAUAGUAAGAGAGAAUGCUGGCUCUGAGUAAAGAGUCCAGAGGAACCUUGAAAACUGCAUAGAGCUAGGUGAAAAAGCCAAAAAAGAAGACCGCAA
rnacentral:tRNA from 1 species